AUGAUAUUCUGUGUUGGCAGUGGGGGUUAUUUUAACCCCGUUAUAACACUUGGCUACACCCUGGCAAGAGUUCUGUCAAUUCCUCAGGCGGUCUGUUACUUCUUUGCUCAAAUAAUCGGAGGAAUUGUUGGAGCGGCCUUAGUGCGGGCUAGUUACCCGGAAUCCGAAUUCGGUGGAAGUUGGUUAUAUGGAAGCCUUUGGAAGGAUGUUCUGUUAGAAGCCAUGUUGGCUGAGGCCAUUCCAACUUUAAUCCUUGUUUUGACUGUCCUUAUCACUACUUUGGAUAAAGAAAAGCGUCGACUCUCCCCAUUGGCCAUUGGGUUUUCUAUCAUUGUCUGCUCCGUUACAAGUUACUCGGAGAGACGACGUGGAUUUACAUUUAUGAAUCCUGCCUUAAGUUUUGGUCCUGCUGUAGCAUACUCUACGCCGUAUGACGGUGGCGAAUUUUGGAAAUAUCAUUAUGUGUACUGGGUAGGCCCUCUUGUGGGGACAUUGGUGGCCUCUCUCUUGUACAGAUUUGUUUUUGCUUUGGGGAGUAGGCGGAUUCGGAUCCCAAAACCCUGCUUCAAAAAACAGCCUUUCAAUUCUGGAGAAAAAUAUGCUGCUUAAAGAAUCAGCCUUGCAUUUCUUGAGCAAUUUGAACAUAACAAUCAUAAUAUGUUAUGAAUUUAAUAUGUUUAUAGCAUUGUUUAAUCCAGCUUUUAUAUAUAAUAAGUUAAAUUUUAAAUAAUAAUAGCAUAUUUAUGUAACUAUUGUUGUUAAAUUUAACUACCUUUAUCUUUGGAUUUUAUACAUUGGUUAUAAAUACGGUAUGUAAUACUGUAAAAAUUUUAUUCAUUUGACCAAUUGAUAAAAUUGAAAAAGAAAUGAGCGGAAAAACUUUACAGACUUUUUAGAAGAUGUCUCGUCUAUCUACCUUUAGUUUGAAUUCUAAGGAAAAGCGUUAAUUGAUUUUAUGUCCCAUAAAACAUAACUGCAUGUGUUGCAAAAGAGCUAUUCCCCCUUUUCAAUGAUGAAUUUCAACUAGACAAAAGGUUAUAUAUACAUGUCAUUUUAUAGAUGAUUCAAUGUUCACAGAAUCUGAAGGGUUUAAUAGUGGUUUUUAAGGGGGGUGGAAUUCACGCUCAAGACACCACUAAAGAAGGACUUUUUUAUAUUAUUUCUUAAUGCAAACCACAUUUAUCUAGAAAUAAAUACCAUGCAUUCGUCUUGGGCACGGUGUUUCUACCAUGGAAUUGUUCUUUGUGAUUGAUUGAUCACGAUUAUAUAUAUUCUUAAUUGGCAUGACCAUAUUGUGUCACUUUAUUAAAGAAAUACUUACUAUACUCUUGUUUUUAAUAUUUUGCAUAUUUGAGAAUUAUCUUCAAUAGGUUUUUAAAGGAUGUAUAUGAAAGGAUGGUAUCAAAUUGAUAUUGUUAUGUUAGUAUUUACAAUACAAAGGGGGAGAAUAAAAUACUAAUAUUGCAAAUAUAUUUUUUGGAUCUGUUUGAUUCGCGAAUUUAUACAAUAUUUGCAUUAUGUGUACAUUCAUAUAUAAGGCGAAGGGAUAGUUAUGUAUAUUUCUUUUAAAUUUUAUCAAGGUGAGCAACUGUGUAUUAUUUUAGCCUACCAACAUAUUUUACAUAAUUGCAUACCCAUUAAUUGGGUUUAUGUUUUAGUCUUAAUACGUUUUAUCAUACAGUAUCGUCAAAACAUGUACAGUAUCUUGCGAUGUAUGUGGCACAUUUGAGAAGUAUACAGGUAUAUUAAAAAACAAUUUUGAAA
rnacentral:misc_RNA from 1 species